AGAACACUAUGCCAAGCCAUUUAUGUGCAUUAAAUAACUCCUUACUCACUGGACCUGGGAGUUUCUUGUAGCACGUCCAGGUCUAUCUGUAUAAUAUGAAAUAGAAUGCCACAGGUGUCAUCUUCUUCUCUCCUUCACAGGAUUCCCUGCUGUUGUGGUUGCAAUCACACUGGGAGUGACUUACAGAGUGGAUGAUCCUUUGGGCUAUCGACGAGAAGAGUUCUGUUGGCUUGCGGCUCUGAACCAAGAUGAGGAGUUUGACUUCGGAAAGCCACUUUUUUGGGGCUUUUUGCUUCCAGUAGCUAUUAUGCUGCUUUUGAAUACUGCAGUGUUAAUAUACUUUGGAAUUUCUACAUGCAAGAAGGAUCCCCUGUUAAGCAGCACAAGCAGCACCUCACUGAAGAAGUUGUUCAUGAGCAGCUUCUCUCUGGGGGCUCUCCUCGGCCUUACUUGGGUUCUGGGCUACCUGGUAAUCUCUACCACUGACCCAACACUGAGCAACAUCUUCAGCAUAUUAUUCUGUGUGUGUAACACCACCCAGGGCUUACAGAUCUUCAUUUUGUUUACGGUGAGGACCGCCUACUUCAG